rnacentral:snoRNA from 1 species
UCAUUAAGCAGAUCCUUAGUAUUAAAAAUGGCUCUGACCAGUGGCACAGGGGAGCAUGGAGCUCUGUCUCAUAAUGCUCAUCCCUUUUUAUAAAAUUGGAGAAAAGCUGGGCCUUGAGUCUCCACCUGCGUGUUCCUGCAACUUCUCAGACUUGUUGACAAUGGCUGAGGAGACAAAUCGUUCAAGU